UAGGGAAUCUUCGGCAAUGGACGGAAGUCUGACCGAGCAACGCCGCGUGAGUGAAGAAGGUUUUCGGAUCGUAAAGCUCUGUUGUUAGAGAAGAACGUUGGUAGGAGUGGAAAAUCUACCAAGUGACGGUAACUAACCAGAAAGGGACGGCUAACUACGGGCCAGCAGCCGCGGUAAGACGUAGGUCCCGAGCGUUGUCCGGAUUUAUUGGGCGUAAAGCGAGCGCAGGCGGUUCUUUAAGUCUGAAGUUAAAGGCAGUGGCUUAACCAUUGUACGCUUUGGAAACUGGAGGACUUGAGUGCAGAAGGGGAGGGUGGAAUUCCAUGUGUAGCGGUGAAAUGCGUAGAUAUAUGGAGGAACACCGGUGGCGAAAGCGGCUCUCUGGUCUGUAACUGACGCUGAGGCUCGAAAGCGUGGGGAGCAAACAGG
rnacentral:rRNA from 1 species